rnacentral:lncRNA from 1 species
AGACUGACCCGCCGCCCCUCCCCCGCGCGCGCUCCCGCUCGGCUCCAUCCACCCAACCAGGAAGUGAACCGUCGCCGGAAGUGCCGCUCGGGACAGCAAGGUGAGGAGCCGAGGCCCUCCUGUUGCUGCCGCCGGGUCGCGACAGACGAGAAGGAGUCGUGGAAGAGAAGGGGACCCGGGAGAGGGGUGUCUCGGUGUGGAGAGAGUUUUGGAAAAGAACUUUUAUCGCCCGGCCCGCAGGGCACCAUGGGAAACGUAGUUCGGCACAAGCCACCCGCUGCACUACAACUCCCAGGAUGCCCCUGAAGGAGCGAGCGAGGAGGCUGCGGUGGCCUCCUCGGCCUCGAAGAUUCCCUCCUUCCUCCUUCCUUGAUGUUUAUUUUACCCUGAUAUCGCCUGAGUGCCAAAGUCCACUUGGAGGACAAUGUGGUUUUCAUCAGCCAAAUGCAGAAGAUUUGGAAGGCCAGUUAGUACCCUUCUACAUCCCUAGAUUUCCUGAUCGACGAUGCUGAAGGAUGAAGGAAGGACGCCAUGGAACUGAAGGCACCCACCACAGGAUUUCAGAUAUAAACGAGUUGGCAGACUAUAAGCACCUACUCCUAAGAAUCAAAGCAGGAGGAAGCAUAAGAAGACUGGACACUGUGGAGAUUCCUGGGUGGCUCAGUCGGUUGGGCGUAUGACUUCGGCUUAGGUCAUGAUCUCACAGUUCAUGCGUUCAGGUCCUGCAUCAGACUCUGUACUGACAGCUCAGAGCCUGGAGCCUGCUUCAAAUUCUGUGUCUCCCUCUCUCUCUCUCCCUCCCCCAACUCACAUCUGUCUCUCUCUCUCAAAAAUAAAUAAACAUUUAAAAAAAUU